rnacentral:lncRNA from 1 species
CUCCUACCAGACGAUAGCUCCAUACAUCAUUUUACUAGAAGAGCCUGAUGCCUACAGAAUUAUAACAACAACAGACACUUUUAUGGAAUUUACAGAAAAUCAGUGGACAACCUUUUCCAUUGUACAUGAUUUUCCAGCCAGGAAAGGAUGGACUAGAUUAUCUGGCAAGGAACAAGUGAUCCCCAGCAACUGCAAGGCAUCCCCUGACCUAAAUCAAAGGAUCACCCAGCACCUGCCACUCAUGAGGUUCCUGCCCGCAAAGGAAUCAUAAAAAAAGAAAU